AAAAGAAAGCUACUUUGUUCUAGGACUGUGUGGUCCAAUAGAUAUUUUCCCAAACUCCAUUUUGGACGGGACAGCCUUGGCCCACAAGGCAGGGAGCUGGAGAGAGGAGAAGAGAGAACAAGCCGAAAGACACACGGGUGUGGACAGGAAGUGUGCGAGACUCCUACGUACAUACAGAGACUGAGAUACGAGACUCGGGACAUCAUUUUGGAAGCAGGGAGACAGGUUCUAAGGGACUUGUCUGCAAUCACACACCAGUGACUUAAUCAGAACUUGGUCAUCAAUGCACAGGCCAGUUUUAUUUCUGUCUUCUAAAACAUUCUUUGUUUUCUUUUGAUUGUUUUAAACUGAAAUGGUUUUUUU